GCAGAGCAGGGCUGGGGUGUGGCUCAGUGGUGGAGCCCUUGCCUAGCACCUGUGAGGCACUGGGUUCCAUCCUCAGCACUGCAUAAAAAUUAACAAAUAAAUGAAAAGUAUCGUGUCUAUUUUGUUUCAGGCAAAGCAACGGGGACCCUUUUUCGUGCGGGGGUAGGGUGCAUCUGCUGAUGAAAGGCAAGCCCUGGGGCCGUUUUCAUAAGCUGAUGAAGUAAGGGACAAGCAUCCUUCAAUAAAUGGGAUCAGCGGGGCCAAGAAUUCCCACCCUCUUUAGAAUGGAGUCAUUUCCCUUCUGCCAGAGUUCACUCCCAUCGGUGCACUUAGGCCUGCAGGAGGGAAGGGAAAAGUGAUGCUGAUUUUACUACCAUAUUUUACUAGUGUUUCAGGCCAUUUUGCUGUUGCCAAGCUUUCUGUUAGCUCACGAGGGGAUGUUACAUGGAAGCAGUCGAUGAGGUCUUUAAAGGUUUGGAACGCUCUUUGAGUAGCAGACCAUUCUAAUUCCCUCCCUCCCCCCGGAGACAUCGAUGCUCCUGGAGGCAGGCAGAGCUUGGCACCCUGGUCCUCACCAUAGCUUUUCUUUAUUAGGAGUUUAUUGGGUGCCAGACAAUAGGCUGAACAUUCAUUCCCUGCUGUCAUGGUUCAUCACACUUGCCCAUUUUACAGGUGAAGACACUGAGGCCCGAGGAGAAGUUAGGAAUCAUGCAGUAUGUCACAACGCCAGUAGGUGGCAGACCUGGGACUUGAAUGCUGGCUGGCUGACAUCAUGUCCUCCUUGGCGUGGACUGCCUCCCCAGGAGGAGGGGGGUUGGGAUUUGACUGGCUUCCAAAGUGGUGGAGGAUGUACCUGAUGCAUCAGAGGACAGAAUGUUCUUAGAAGACCAUGGAGGACAGUGCGAUCCCACAGCUUAGUAUGUGCUGGUUGUCAUUUAGGUCUCUCUAGAGUCUGGAUCUUUCACAUUGUGCAGGCUGCCACAAGACAUAUAGGUCUCGAUGUUCCCAUGCGGAGUGGCAGGCAGCUGCUGCCAUCCUGGCCUCCAGACUCUUCCUGUGGGCGGUGUUUCAGAUCCUCUUGGCCUCACCUGUCUCCUGUCCCUGCUGCAAUGGCACAUGGGCUCCAGCUGACUCCACACAGGUUUGGCUGCUGAGAGAGGCGGAAAUGAAUGGACCCGGGAUGAGCUUCUAUACAAAUGCCUUACAAAGCCCUAGGGACGGUCCUGCUUCCUCCAGCUGAGCAGGAAGGAGCCCGGCCAGAGAGUAUUCCUGCAGUCGCUGACCGCGGCCACACCAUGUUGCUGUUGGAGAGAAAAACCAAGUUGGAAAUGGAGAUUGUGAGUGUGAUUCCUGACCACCUUGUUUCUGUGUGUGGACCCACUGCUGAUCCAUCCCCCUUUAGCCACCCUGGACACCCAAGGCAACACAUAGCAUUUUACCUAUGUGUUGGAGCAGGGGUCUGUCACUCACACUCUCAGGAGCCUUGACCAACCCAGUCACUGACCUUGCCCUCUGAAAAGUCCGACUCGUCUGCCUUCGUCUGGUGAUCGGGUUACCUUCUGGAUCAGAGCUGUUCCACUGCCACAGUCCCCUGGCCUGAGGAUUCCUGUAGCCAUGUAACUUCCCGGUAAAUUGUCUAUUGUCUUAGGAUUGCUGGGAACCACUACUAAAUAUAAAAUCAAUUGAAAAUCAUGCAACUAUAAGGAAAAAAAUUCA